rnacentral:rRNA from 1 species
UGACGAGUUUGAUCCUCGCUCAGAACGAACGCUGGCGGCAGGCUUAACUACAUGCAAGUCGAACGCCCCGCAAGGGGAGUGGCAGACGGGUGAGUAACGCGUGGGAAUCUACCCGAGUUCUACGGGAACAACUGAGGGAAACUUCAGCUAAUACCGUAUACGCCCGAUAGGGGAAAGAUUUAUCGGAAUUGGAUGAGCCCGCGUAAGAUUAGCUAGUUGGUGGGGUAAUGGCCUACCAAGGCGACGAUCUUUAGCUGGUCUGAGAGGAUGAUCAGCCACACUGGGACUGAGACACGGCCCAGACUCCUACGGGAGGCAGCAGUGGGGAAUAUUGGACAAUGGGCGCAAGCCUGAUCCAGCCAUGCCGCGUGAGUGAUGAAAGCCCUU